GACAGAGGGUGCAAACGUUGUUCGGAAUUACUGGGCGUAAAGCGUGUGUAGGUGGCUGCGUAAGUCGGAUGUGAAAGCCCUGGGCUCAACUCAGGAAGUGCACUCGAUACUGCGUAGCUUGAGUACCGGAGAGGUUGGUAGAAUUCUCGGUGUAGAGGUGAAAUUCGUAGAUAUCGAGAGGAAUACCUGUGGCGAAGGCGGCCAACUGGACGAGUACUGACACUGAGACACGAAAGCGUGGAGAGCAAACAGG
rnacentral:rRNA from 1 species